UGGCUCUGUCUUCACCACCUUCACUCUCUCUCUCAUGAGAAAGGCUUGGAUGGGCCAAGGAAUGGGAUAUAGUUGUAGAAGUAAUUGAAUGGAAUGGAGACAAUGGGCACGUUAGCUGAUGCUGGACAAUACUCGUUCUCCAGCCUUGCUCGGUUGUAGCGGGAGAGGACAAUAUGGCAUAAAAAAACGGAAGGAUUGCGAGGGACCAAAGAGAUCGAGGGGAGGCUAGAUAUAAUACCCCGAUCCAAUCAAACCCUACCACAUGAACCUUAAAGCAAU
rnacentral:lncRNA from 1 species